CAAUAUUUUCUGCUCAGUGUUUAUAAAUAGCCGCGGUAUUUUGACCGUGCAAAGGUAGCAUAAUCAUUUGCUUCGUAAUUGGGGGCUUGUAUGAAAGGGAGUACAAAAAGUUUGCUUUAUUUUUAAGAUAAGUAUAAUUUUCUUUUUUUAGUGAAGAAGCUAAAUUUUAAUUAAAAGACAAGAAGACCCUUUUGAGUUUUAUUUUCUUUUUUUUUUUUAAAUUGAAGAGAAUUUGAUUGGGGCGAUCGAGGAAGUGUUUAUCUUCCUUUUUUUAUUUUGAUCCAUGGGUUGUGAAUAAAAGAUUAAAUUACCAAAGGGAUAACAGCGUUAUUUUUUUUGAAAGUUCUUAUUGAAAAUUGAGAUUGCGACCUCGAUGUUGACUUAUAGUUUCCUUUUGGUGUAGUCGUUUUUAGGGUGGGUCUGUUCAACCUUUAAAAUUUU
rnacentral:rRNA from 1 species